ensembl:lncRNA
GGAUAAAGCAGCAGGGCGGCCUGAGGUCGGAUGGGUGGGGAGUGCAGGGAGAUGGGAAAAAGCUGGGAUAAUCUCGGUCCAUGAAGGUGUUAACCUCGCCACAGGCCUCUGCAUGUUCAAAAGUGGAGGCACUUAGAGACUAAGGGUGAAGUUCUCAGCUCUGAUGUCAAAGGUCGUGGAGAGGAGAUUCGUGCUUGCCCCCUGGAGGCUCGGAAGUCCUGUCCACUCUUAACCAGCUCAGCUGGAACCCGGCCCAGCUGACUCCAAGCUCCUGGGGAACAACUCAGCACCCGCUCCCCUUGCGCAGCACACCGCGGUGGCUGACUGCAGCCUUGCAGUGAAAUAAAGCAGUAAGUCAGCACUUACCCUCAGACGUUCACACUCAACCAAGUGGGAAGGUCAGACUCAUCUCCCUCCCGCCGCCUUUGCGACACCCCCGUCUCAGGACAGCUGCAGGGCUGGGCCCACGUCCACAGUCCUCGCUGUGCAGCUUCAAACCUGGAAAACGGAGACCGCUUCAGAAACUCUUCAGAACACACCUUCCAGACUAGGCCGUGGCAUUGAAUAAACAAUGAAUGUGGAAGCCUGAUCAAGAACAAACAUGGAUACUGAGGGGUAAGGGGUGGGCAAGGACUGGGAGAUGGGGACUGACGUGCAGGCACCAUCAACAUGACGCACGACACCCGUGACUGAUGGCAACCUCCUGGGCAGCGCGGGAAGUGCUACUGAGGGCGCCGUGGUAAGCCACCUGGGAAGGAAUCCAAAACAGAGGCUGUAUGUGUGCACACAGCCGCCCACUUUGCUGUGCAGUAGAAACACAACACUGUAAAGCAGGUAAAGCCAACAGGAAUUAGUUUAAAAAUACACUUACAAAACCCCAAUCCCCCUGAACACGGACGACCUGCAAGACUGACUUGGGGCUGGUGGACUGGUCGUGCCCCUCCUGUCGCCCGACGCGGCUGCCCGCAGGAAAGAGGUCUAGUCACCGGCUCCCUGGUUCUCAGAGACCCUCUGGUGACACCUUGUGGGCACGU